rnacentral:rRNA from 1 species
GACGAACGCUGGCGGCGUGCUUAACACAUGCAAGUCGAGCGGUAAGGCCCUUUCGGGGGUACACGAGCGGCGAACGGGUGAGUAACACGUGGGUGACCUGCCCUCAGCUCUGGGAUAAGCCUGGGAAACUGGGUCUAAUACUGGAUAUGACUCCACGGUGCAUGUCGUGGGGUGGAAAGCCUUGUGCGGCUGAGGAUGGGCCCGCGGCCUAUCAGCUUGUUGGGGGGGGUGA